UGGGGAAUAUUGCGCAAUGGGGGAAACCCUGACGCAGCAACGCCGCGUGAGCGAAGAAGGCCUUCGGGUCGUAAAGCUCUGUCAUCAGGGACGAAGUAAGUGACGGUACCUGAGGAGGAAGCCCCGGCUAACUACGUGCCAGCAGCCGCGGUAACACGUAGGGGGCGAGCGUUGUCCGGAAUUACUGGGCGUAAAGGGUGCGUAGGCGGUCUGUUAAGUCAGAUGUGAAAGACCUGGGCUCAACCCGGGAUGUGCAUCUGAGACUGGCGGACUUGAGUGCAGGAGAGGGAAGUGGAAUUUCUAGUGUAGCGGUGGAAUGCGUAGAUAUUAGGAAGAACACCAGUGGCGAAGGCGGCUUCCUGGACUGUAACUGACGCUGAGGCACGAAAGCGUGGGGAGCGAACAGG
rnacentral:rRNA from 2 species